GUGGGGAAUAUUGGGCAAUGGGCGAAAGCCUGACCCAGCGACGCCGCGUGGGGGAAGAAGUCCCUCGGGAUGGAAACCCUUGUUGUACGGGACGAAGGAAGUGCCGGUACCGUACGAGGAAGCCCCGGCAAACUACGUGCCAGCAGCCGCGGUAAUACGUAGGGGGCGAGCGUUGUCCGGAAUCACUGGGCGUAAAGCGCACGUAGGCGGGCUGUUAAGUCGGCCGUGAAAGGCACUGGCUCAACCGGUGUUUGUCGGUCGAUACUGGCAGUCUGGAGUAUGGGAGAGGGAACUGGAAUUCCGGGUGUAGCGGUGAAAUGCGUAGAUAUCGGGAGGAACACCAGUGGCGAAGGCGGGUUCCUGGCCCAUGACUGACGCUGAGGUGCGAAAGCCGGGGGAGCGAACGGGAUUAGAUACCCGGGUAGUCC
rnacentral:rRNA from 1 species